rnacentral:rRNA from 1 species
GACGAACGCUGGCGGCGUGCUUAACACAUGCAAGUCGAACGGAAAGGCCCUGCUUGCCGGGUGCUCGAGUGGCGAACGGGUGAGUAACACGUGGGUGAUCUGCCCCUUACUUUGGGAUAAGCCUGGGAAACUGGGUCUAAUACUGGAUAGGACCAUGCUGUAGGUGGUGUGGUGGAAAGAUUAGUUUCGGUAAGGGAUGAGCUCGCGGCCUAUCAGCUUGUUGGUGGGGUAAUGGCCUACCAAGGCGUCGACGGGUAGCCGGCCUGAGAGGGUGGACGGCCACAUUGGGACUGAGAUACGGCCCAGAGUCCUACGGGAGGCAGCAGUGGGGAAUAUUGCACAAUGGGCGCAAGCCUGAUGCAGCGACGCCGCGUGGGGGAUGACGGCCUUCGGGUUGUAAACUCCUUUCAGCCAUGACGAAGCCCUUGUGGUGACGGUAGUGGUAGAAGAAGCACCGGCUAACUACGUG